rnacentral:lncRNA from 13 species
AUGAUACGCCCAUCUAACAAACCUGCACGUGUAUACCCUGAACCUAAAAAAAGAAUUAAAAAAAUAAAAACAAAAUCUACACUGAUGAGAAAAAGGAUCAAAUCCAACUUUAAGUUCCUGAUUCUAACUUUCUACCUUUAUUUUAGUGCCUCUCAGAAUUAUCUGCGUUUAUGUUUACAUAAACCACUGACUGGGAUCAUCAUAAGUGAAUCAUCCUGUUCCCCAAACCAGAAACUGCCCUGGCACACAGGAAGCUUAUGCUCUUCUGGAACAUUAAGCUCUUCCCCCAUCAAGAGGUGGUGUCUGCGUCUGUUCUCCUUGAAUUUGUGUGGCUCUUCCUGACUGCUUCAACCAAGAGACUCCAGUAGGAAUGAUACUAUAUAAUUUCUGAGGCUAGAUCAUAAGAAUGCCAUGUACUUUAAUUUUAUUCUUUGAGGGUCGCUGGCUCCUGGAACCCAGCCACCAUACUGUGAUGAAGCCUACACAACUGUGGAGAGGCUCACAUGGAGAGGAAUCAGUGCCUACUGAUCUACAGCCCUGGCUGAGCUCUCAGCCAACAGUCACGAUCAACUUCCAGCCAUAUUGAACCAUCUUGAAAGAGGCUCCCCCAGCACCAAGUUAAGCAGUGUGAUUACGUUGCCAAAGAUCACCUCUUUCCUAUCAUCUUUCUUCUGAGACUUGUUUAGAGUAAACUUGGAAGCUGUGUUUUGCUCACUCUGAAGAUUGAAUAUAAGAAAAUUUGCUUAAGUUUGGAUGAUGCAGCUGCUGAAGUAAUCUGUGAUGCACUUUCCUUCAGGAAUCCUUAUCUAUUUGUUCAGGUGUUCCACAAGUCUUCUUAUCUUGGAAUCCAAGAAUACUCAUUGUGUGGUUGCUUAUUGUUUCCCAGACACCCUGAUGCUUUGAGGCUUUGUCUCAUGCUUUCAAGUAAUGUUCUCAUGUUCACCUGCUGAUAUUCCUUCAAGGGUGCAGGCUGUAUCUCUCCAAGUGUGGAAUCAAACAAUCAGAUAAGAUGUUGUGUAACAAUUCAUAUUAAAAACGUGAUCUUGUCAGUCAAGAAGAAGAGAUGAAAACAAACACCUUGAGAGUUCAUGAGUAGAAGUAUAUAGCCCUGCAUUUAUGAUAAUAUGGUGCAGUUUAUCCAUACACAGCAAUGUAACUGCUUAAAAUGCUCCUGAAAUUCAGGCAAAAUAAAUUAUAAAUAUUAUUAAGAUCA